GAUGAACGCUGGCGGCGUGCCUAAUACAUGCAAGUCGAACGAGGUGCUUUUGUAGCAAUACGAAAGUAUCCUAGUGGCGAACGGGUGAGUAACGCGUUGGUGACCUACCCCAAAGUGUGGGAUAACAGUCCGAAAGGAUUGCUAAUACCGCAUGUGGUUAUCGGACUUAGAAACUGAUAACUAAAGGAGCAAUUCGCUUUGGGAGGGACCUGCGUCCCAUCAGCUAGUUGGUGAGGUAAUGGCUCACCAAGGCUACGACGGGUAGGGGACCUGAGAGGGUGACCCCCCACAAUGGAACUGAAACACGGUCCAUACACCUACGGGUGGCAGCAGUAGGGAAUAUUGCACAAUGGGCGAAAGCCUGAUGCAGCAACGCCGCGUGUGCGAUGAAGGCCUUCGGGUCGUAAAGCACUUUUCUGAGGGAUGAGCAAGGACA
rnacentral:rRNA from 1 species